UACGAAGGGGGCUAGCGUUGCUCGGAAUCACUGGGCGUAAAGGGUGCGUAGGCGGGUCUUUAAGUCAGGGGUGAAAUCCUGGAGCUCAACUCCAGAACUGCCUUUGAUACUGAAGAUCUUGAGUUCGGGAGAGGUGAAUGGAACUGCGAGUGUAGAGGUGAAAUUCGUAGAUAUUCGCAAGAACACCAGUGGCGAAGGCGGCUCACUGGCCCGAUACUGACGCUGAUGCACGAAAGCGUGGGGAGCAAACAGG
rnacentral:rRNA from 1 species